GCGCCCUAAAUAAACGACGCAUCAUAGAUACCAUGAAAUGUGUUGAUUGCUAAAGACAGCAGGGACGGUGUGGACAUGGAAUCGUCAUCGCCUAAGGAGCUGUGUAACAAACUCCACCUGCCGAAGCAAUUAGGCCCUUAAACAUGAAUGGCCGCUCCAAUCGUUUGC
rnacentral:rRNA from 1 species